rnacentral:rRNA from 1 species
GUGAACUCGAAGAGUAGGGCGGGACACGUGGUAUCCUGUCUGAAUAUGGGGGGACCAUCCUCCAAGGCUAAAUACUCCUGACUGACCGAUAGUGAACCAGUACCGUGAGGGAAAGGCGAAAAGAACCCCGGCGAGGGGAGUGAAAAAGAACCUGAAACCGUGUACGUACAAGCAGUGGGAGCACCUUCGGGUGUGACUGCGUACCUUUUGUAUAAUGGGUCAGCGACUUAUAUUCUGUAGCAAGGUUAACCGUAUAGGGGAGCCGCAGGGAAACCGAGUCUUAACUGGGCGUUAAGUUGCAGGGUAUAGACCCGAAACCCGGUGAUCUAGCCAUGGGCAGGUUGAAGGUUGGGUAACACUAACUGGAGGACCGAACCGACUAAUGUUGAAAAAUUAGCGGAUGACUUGUGGCUGGGGGUGAAAGGCCAAUCAAACCGGGAGAUAGCUGGUUCUCCCCGAAAGCUAUUUAGGUAGCGCCUCGUGAACUCAUCUUCGGGGGUAGAGCACUGUUUCGGCUAGGGGGUCAUCCCGACUUACCAACCCGAUGCAAACUACGAAUACCGAAGAAUGUUAUCACGGGAGACACACGGCGGGUGCUAACGUCCGUCGUGAAGAGGGAAACAACCCAGACCGCCAGCUAAGGUCCCAAAGUCAUGGUUAAGUGGGAAACGAUGUGGGAAGGCACAGACAGCCAGGAUGUUGGCUUAGAAGCAGCCAUCAUUUAAAGAAAGCGUAAUAGCUCACUGGUCGAGUCGGCCUGCGCGGAAGAUGUAACGGGGCUAAACCAUGCACCGAAGCUGCGGCAGCGACACUAUGUGUUGUUGGGUAGGGGAGCGUUCUGUAAGCCUGCGAAGGUGUGCUGUGAGGCAUGCUGGAGGUAUCAGAAGUGCGAAUGCUGACAUAAGUAACGAUAAAGCGGGUGAAAAGCCCGCUCGCCGGAAGACCAAGGGUUCCUGUCCAACGUUAAUCGGGGCAGGGUGAGUCGACCCCUAAGGCGAGGCCGAAAGGCGUAGUCGAUGGGAAACAGGUUAAUAUUCCUGUACUUGGUGUUACUGCGAAGGGGGGACGGAGAAGGCUAUGUUAGCCGGGCGACGGUUGUCCCGGUUUAAGCAUGUAGGCUGGUUGUCCAGGCAAAUCCGGAUAAUCAAGGCUGAGGUGUGAUGACGAGGCACUACGGUGCUGAAGUAACAAAUGCCCUGCUUCCAGGAAAAGCCUCUAAGCAUCAGGUAACAUCAAAUCGUACCCCAAACCGACACAGGUGGUCAGGUAGAGAAUACCAAGGCGCUUGAGAGAACUCGGGUGAAGGAACUAGGCAAAAUGGUGCCGUAACUUCGGGAGAAGGCACGCUGGUGUGUAGGUGAAGUCCCUGCGGAUGGAGCUGAGACCAGUCGAAGAUACCAGCUGGCUGCAACUGUUUAUUAAAAACACAGCACUGUGCAAACACGAAAGUGGACGUAUACGGUGUGACGCCUGCCCGGUGCCGGAAGGUUAAUUGAUGGGGUUAUCCGUAAGGAGAAGCUCUUGAUCGAAGCCCCGGUAAACGGCGGCCGUAACUAUAACGGUCCUAAGGUAGCGAAAUUCCUUGUCGGGUAAGUUCCGACCUGCACGAAUGGCGUAAUGAUGGCCAGGCUGUCUCCACCCGAGACUCAGUGAAAUUGAACUCGCUGUGAAGAUGCAGUGUACCCGCGGCAAGACGGAAAGACCCCGUGAACCUUUACUAUAGCUUGACACUGAACAUUGAGCCUUGAUGUGUAGGAUAGGUGGGAGGCUUUGAAGCGUGGACGCCAGUCUGCGUGGAGCCAACCUUGAAAUACCACCCUUUAAUGUUUGAUGUUCUAACGUUGGCCCCUGACCGGGGUUGCGGACAGUGUCUGGUGGGUAGUUUGACUGGGGCGGUCUCCUCCCAAAGCGUAACGGAGGAGCACGAAGGUUAGCUAAUCCUGGUCGGACAUCAGGAGGUUAGUGCAAUGGCAUAAGCUAGCUUGACUGCGAGCGUGACGGCGCGAGCAGGUGCGAAAGCAGGUCAUAGUGAUCCGGUGGUUCUGAAUGGAAGGGCCAUCGCUCAACGGAUAAAAGGUACUCCGGGGAUAACAGGCUGAUACCGCCCAAGAGUUCAUAUCGACGGCGGUGUUUGGCACCUCGAUGUCGGCUCAUCACAUCCUGGGGCUGAAGUAGGUCCCAAGGGUAUGGCUGUUCGCCAUUUAAAGUGGUACGCGAGCUGGGUUUAGAACGUCGUGAGACAGUUCGGUCCCUAUCUGCCGUGGGCGCUGGAGAAUUGAGGGGGGCUGCUCCUAGUACGAGAGGACCGGAGUGGACGCAUCACUGGUGUUCGGGUUGUCAUGCCAAUGGCACUGCCCGGUAGCUAAAUGCGGAAGAGAUAAGUGCUGAAAGCAUCUAAGCACGAAACUUGCCCCGAGAUGAGUUCUCCCUGAGACUUUAAGUCUCCUGAAGGAACGUUAAAGACGAUGACGUUGAUAGGCCGGGUGUGUAAGCGCAGCGAUGCGUUGAGCUAACCGGUACUAAUGAACCGUGAGGCUUAACCUU